ensembl:lncRNA
CAAGCGACCAUUUUGUUGAGUUUUGUCUUUUUUCUUCUUUUUCAGGUCGUUGGAGAGCAUAACUAGCCAGGUUUUUCUCUUUACCUGCUCCUGGAAACCCUUUCUAACCGCAUAUUUUGUUCUUAAUUCUUUUCUGCUGACUUCAGUUAACUGCGACUUUCCUAUCGGCACUGCUCUAUAUUUGCAUCGUUUUGAAAUGCAGGAAUGGAGGUGAGAGGGGUGCUGUUGGCGUUGUGCAAUAUGAGAAGAGAACAAAUGAAUCUUAAGGAAGUGCGUUUAGCAAUUGCAGAAGCAGGUAUGCCGUGGGAUCCUGAUAAAUGAGAUGGGGAUGGUUGGGAUUUGGUGUGUUCUGUAGAGUCUGGUUCCUCAGAUGGAGUUUUGAGUGUAAAACCAUUGUGGAGAAAGGAGAGUUGAAUUUGAUGCUGCUGGGCAGCCAGUGAGGAAGGAUGUGGUAGAGCCUUGUACUUGGUAUGAACUAAAUUAGAUAAUGGAGCAGUUUAAAGGCCAGGGGAACCUCGGAUUUUUGUGGGUGGUGUGUUUGUAUGACCAGGGAGUACUCUGUAUCACUUCAAAUGUAGGAGAUGCUAAAAGGGUUUUUAUCUCGCACAAAGGUGUCCAGGCUAACAUUUGAAGUAAUGACAGGGACAAUAAUGAGUUAACUAUGGCCACUCAAGGACAUAAUGCGAAGUACCCUACAGAAAAUGACUAGUAAUGAAUCAAGGAGGAAGGGAUGAAAUGGGCCUUGUUUUCCUGGGCGAUGCUGGCACUUUGAUCAGAACACUUGGUUGGUUGCAGCGAGGAAUGGAGUGAUAAAAAUUGCCCCACCAGUGUAUAUGAAUGUGAUCAUGACUUUCAGUCAAUGAAACUAGGAACACCCAUAGUGAAGUCACUUAAAAAAGUAAAUAAAAGAAAAAGAAAAAAAGAAACCCAGAAAUUAGUGCUCUUGGGGUAUGGGACCCCUGUGGAAGUGCAGGAAACCGAGGUACCCACAGCCCUUUUAGGGAACGUGAAAGCUGGUUUUCUCUUAGUGAAAUGCUUACAGCUUUGCUGAAAAACAGUUUGUCUUAAGAUGAGACUGUUGGCGUACUGAUCCAGGACUCGCAGAGACUUGAUAAACAAGGGGUUGAACAAACCUAACAGGCAAGUGCAAAAUGUUAAAGCAGCAGUUCUAGAAGCAACUCAGUCUUCAGCACCUCCUCUGAAGCCUCGACGGGACUUUACAUCUGCUCAUGGAGGGCCCCCUGUGAGUGGAUCGACUGUUCCGGGGGAACAGGAGGAUUGGGAGCUGUUUUCUGACUUGCAUCCUUGGAAAGUAACUGGGGAAGUAGUUCAGCAUGAACAGACUGAAACUAUGGUCCACCUCCUGUGCAAUGGGUAUGGAAGGCCCUUUGACGCCACGUGGAGCUUAGAAUAAUUUGGAGAAACUGGUCCUCCUGAAUUGUAAAAUCCUUCAUUUCCACUGGAUUUGAGCUCUCUUCAAUGAAUGGAAACCCUAAGGCUUUUAAAGGACGGCCCCUAAUUAUUACCCUUUUGGGAGGGAAACAAGUUGUAGCUGUGCAAACACAACUGGAAAUGAAAAUAGGGAAUCUCUCUGGUUGUGUUCUGUUACGUACUCUGGGAUGAGAGCAAUCAAAAUUAGAAUAGAUGUUUGGGAAGGACUGGCCUUGAAUCUCUCUGAUAGCCAAUACCAAUAGGAUGUAAAGAAUUAGGUUAGUGCCCAAACAGUUGUAGUGAGAAGUAUCUUUUGAUUUCUUUAUAAAAGCCACCUGUAUCAAUUUUAGCUGUAACAAAAUAAGUGACCAUGAAAAAAUGUAGAGUGGAAUAGCUCAGAAAUAGGUGGCACUUCUCCCUUGGUUCCUCCUUGAACCCUGGCCAGGUUUUGGGAGAAAACCAACAGGAGACAGAGGAAACCAGAUGUUCCGCCUGACUGUUUCAUAGAUUGGUUUGUUUAGUGAUACAAAAGCUGGACCUGCUUGCAGUGACGAUGGAGACCUCGACUGCGGGGUGGACGCACUGCCGUAGGCCUUCCCAGUUGCCGGGACGGGUUCUCCAGAUCCUCGCUGCAACCAGGGCUCCCCAGCAGCUGCGGAUCUGGAUGGUGGUCAAAGUAGUAGAGUAGUGAUUGGUAGCUAAACUCAAAGUUACAGUACUGCUCAGGUUUGAAAAGACCCUUCAAGAUCAUCAAGUCCAACCACAACCUAACUAGAUUACCUUAACUCUUAACAACUAUGUUAGCUCUAUUUUUUUUUUUUGCAUCAUUUUGAUAUAGACAGUAAAGCUUAUCCCUUUAGUUGAUGUCUGUGUCUUUUCUGUUGUCCCUGUCAAUGGCAAAAUGAGUCCCUCUGCCCUGGUUCCUUCUUCAGUUCUGCUUUUUGAGAGCCCAGCUGUCAGGAAUUCUGAAAUACAUGAACUCAAUCAGUCAGGGCAAGAGGGCUCUAGAAUAAUUUGAAAGGUGUGCCAUCACCAGCUGCUUCACUUUACUCCCCUUGUCUGUAGCCUUUUUUCACCUGUCCUGCUUUUUUCAGUAUUUCAUGUAAUGACACUGGGGGCCAGCUGGUUAAUGCUGGUGCACAGUGUCCAGGAGCUGCCUAUCUUAGUUGUUGAGCUUCUAGCAGUCUUAGCUAUUCUCAUGUGAGUUCCAGCUCUCUGAGAGGCAGGUAUUCUCUAUCUCUUUACUGUGCUGUUUCCUCAACUGUCUACUAUUUCCUAUGUGAUUUCUGAUUCUAGGUAAUGGAAGAGAGCUUUCUGCUCUUCGUCGAAGCCAGACGUGAGUGCCUGCCGCUAAGGACUCAGACUUGUUCUUUCUUCUCCCAUUUUUGAUUUGUUAGGUUUUCUGUUGCUAAUUAUUCUGUAUUAUCUUUAAUAAAUUAUCUCUUCUACUUACA